UACGAAGGGGGCUAGCGUUGUUCGGAAUCACUGGGCGUAAAGCGCACGCAGGCGGAUUGAUAAGUCGGGGGUGAAAUCCCGGGGCUCAACCUCGGAAUUGCCUUCGAUACUGUCUGUCUUGAGUCCGGGGAGAGGUGAGUGGAAUUCCUAGUGUAGAGGUGAAAUUCGUAGAUAUUAGGAAGAACACCAGUGACGAAGGCGGCUCACUGGCCCGGUACUGACGCUCAGUGCUGCGAAAGC
rnacentral:rRNA from 1 species